ACUUUGCAACAUGACAUAGUUACUUAAGCCAAGUGGCAUGUUAUCUGUACGCAUUUUGAGCCGCGUGUAUGUCUACGCUCUAUGCAGAGGACGUAAACAUACACGC